rnacentral:rRNA from 1 species
GGCCCUUAACUGACGCUAAGCUUCGAAGGGCGGGUAUAUCAACACGGAUUAGAGAUCCCCUGUAGUUCGCACACGUUAACGAAGGAUGCCCGCUGUGUGCGAUAUAUUGUAAGCGCGCCCAGCGAGAAGUGUUUAGCCUUCCCCCCUGGGAGUUACCGGCAACCGUGAAACUUAAAGGAAAUGACGGGGGGCCGCACCAAGCGGAGGACCUGUGUGUUUAAUUUGAUGAUUACGGGAGAACCUUUACCGGGCCUGAAAUGCCGCAGGAGGAUUCAGAGAACAGGACCGCCUUUGGGGGCGUUGUGGAGGUUGUGCCAUGUUGUUGUUCACUUGUGCCCUGAGGUGUUGGGUUAAGUGCCAUUACGAGGGCAAACCCCUUUGUCAGUUGCCAUCCAGUUAGGGUGGGCACUCUGGUGACACUGCCACCGUAAGGUGUGAGGAAGGUGGGGAUGACGUCAAAUCAGCACGGCCCUUACGUCCGGGGCUACACACGUGUUACAAUGGGUGGUACAGAGGGCAGGUCGAUGGCAAUGUGCGUCUAAUCAUGAAAGUCAUCCUCAGUUCGGAUUGGGGUCUGCAACCCGACCCCAUGAAGCUGGA